AGACGUCUACAUUAGAUACCCGCGUAGUCCCAGCCGUAAACGAUGCGCGUUAGGUGUAUCGACGACCACGAGUCGUCGAGGUGCCGAAGGGAAACCGUGAAACGUGCCGCCUGGGAAGUACGGUCGCAAGGCUGAAACUUAAAGGAAUUGGCGGGGGAGCACCACAACAGGUGGAGCCUGCGGUUUAAUUGGACUCAACGCCGGAAAUCUCACCGGAUAAGACAGCAGAAUGAUUGCCGGGCUGAAGACUCUGCAUGACUAGCUG
rnacentral:rRNA from 1 species